GACGAACGCUGGCGGCGUGCUUAACACAUGCAAGUCGAACGAAGUGGCGAACGGGUGAGUAACGUGUAAUCAACCUGCCCUUCAGCGGGGGACAACAGUUGGACACGUCUGCUAAUCCCGCAUACUGAAUAAGGGGUUUGCGUCUGAUUAGCUAGUUGGAGGGGUAACGGCCCACCAAGUGGAUGCACAGUAGCCGGGCUGGGAGGGUGAACGGCGAAAUUGGGACUGAGAAACGGCCCAGACUCCGACGGGAGGGAGCAGUGGGGAAUCUUCGGCCAUGGACGAAAGUCUGACGGAGCAACGCCGCGUGAGUGAUGACGGCCUUCGGGUUGUAAAGCUCUGUUAAUCGGGACGCGGUACCGGAAUAGAAAGCCACGGCUAACUACGUGCCAGCAGCCGCGGUAAUAC
rnacentral:rRNA from 1 species